UCAAGCGACUAAGUGUAUGUGGUGGAUGCCUUGGCGAUUACAGGCGAUGAAGGACGUCGCAGCCUGCGAAAAGCCGUGGGGAGCUGGCAAGCGAGCACUGAUCCACGGAUGUCCGAAUGAGGGAACUCACCCGCAAGGGUAUCUUGAAGUGAAUACAUAGCUUCAAGAGGCGAACGCAGCGAACUGAAACAUCUAAGUAGCUGCAGGAAAAGAAAUCAACCGAGAUUCUGAAAGUAGCGGCGAGCGAAAUUGGAAGAGCCUGCAAGUGAUAUUGAAUUCGAUACUGGAACGGUCUGGAAAGUCCGGCUACAGAGGGUGACAGCCCCGUACGGGAAAUUGGGUUCAAGGUACUGAGCUUGCGAGAAGUAGAGCGGGACACGUGAAAUCCUGCUCGAAGAUGGGGGGACCAUCCUCCAAGGCUAAAUACUCGUAAUCGACCGAUAGCGAACCAGUACUGUGAAGGAAAGGCGAAAAGAACCCCGGGAGGGGAGUGAAAUAGAUCCUGAAACCGCAUACAUACAAACAGUAGGAGCCCGCAAGGGUGACUGCGUACCUUUUGCAUAAUGGGUCAGCGACUUACGUUCAAUGGCAAGCUUAACCGAGUAGGGGAGGCGCAGCGAAAGCGAGUCCGAACAGGGCGAUAUGAGUCGUUGGGCGUAGACCCGAAACCAGAUGAUCUAUCCAUGGCCAGGCUGAAGGUGUGGUAACACACACUGGAGGGCCGAACCGACUAGUGUUGCAAAAUUAGCGGAUGAGCUGUGGAUAGGGGUGAAAGGCUAAACAAAUCUGGAGAUAGCUGGUUCUCCCCGAAAACUAUUGAGGUAGUGCCUCGUGUAUGGCUCCAGGGGGUAGAGCACUGUUAUGGCUAGGGGGACAUGGCGUCUUACCAAACCAUGGCAAACUCCGAAUACUUGGAAGUCUGAGCACGGGAGACAGAGCACCGGGUGCUAACGUCCGGACUCAAAAGGGAAACAACCCAGACCGCCGGCUAAGGUCCCUAAUAUUGACUAAGUGGAAAACGAAGUGGGAAGGCUAAGACAGUCAGGAAGUUGGCUUAGAAGCAGCCAUCCUUCAAAGAAAGCGUAAUAGCUCACUGAUCGAGUCUUCCUGCGCGGAAGAUGUAACGGGGCUAAGUCAAUAACCGAAGCCGCGGAUUCGCAGCAAUGCGAGUGGUAGGGGAGCGUUCUGUAAGCCUGCGAAGGCGGAUCUGCGAGGACCGCUGGAGGUAUCAGAAGUGCGAAUGCUGACAUGAGUAACGUUAAAGCGGGUGAAAAGCCCGCUCGCCGCAAGCCCAAGGUUUCCUGCUCUACGUUCAUCGGAGCAGGGUGAGUCGGCCCCUAAGGUCAGGCUGAGAAGCGUAGCUGAUGGGAAGCUGGUUAAUAUUCCAGCACCGAUUUCAAGUGCGAAGGGGGGACGGAGUCCUGAAGGUCAUCCGGGUGUUGGAUAUCCCGGUUUACGAGCGUAGGAGGUUGACAGGCAAAUCCGUCAACGGAUCUCCAAGGCGAAGGAUCGAGGUUGAGAGAUCAACUGAAGUGACUGAAUGGGCUUCCAGGAAAAGCCUCUAAGCAUCAGCUUGGAAUUGACCGUACCGCAAACCGACACUGGUGGGCGAGCUGAAUAUGCUCAGGCGCUUGAGAGAACUCAGGAGAAGGAACUCGGCAAAUUGACACCGUAACUUCGGGAUAAGGUGUGCCUUUGUAGUGUGAAGGGAGAAACACCCCGAGCAUGAAGAGGCCUCAGAGAAUCGGUGGCUGCAACUGUUUACUAAAAACACAGCACUCUGCAAAGAUGAAAGUCGACGUAUAGGGUGUGAUGCCUGCCCGGUGCUGGAAGAUUAAUUGAUGGGGUGCAAGCUCCUGAUCGAAGUCCCAGUAAACGGCGGCCGUAACUAUAACGGUCCUAAGGUAGCGAAAUUCCUUGU
rnacentral:rRNA from 1 species